rnacentral:rRNA from 1 species
CACGUAGGGGGCGAGCGUUGUCCGGAUUUAUUGGGCGUAAAGAGCUCGUAGGCGGUUCGGCAAGUCGGGUGUGAAAUUUCGAGGCUCAACCUCGAAACGCCACUCGAUACUGCUGUGACUGGAGUCCGGGUAGAGGAGUGCGGAAUUCCUGGUGUAGCGGUGAAAUGCGUAGAUAUCGGAAGGAACAUCAGUGGCGAAAAGCGGGCUUCC